GGUCCUAUAGCUCAGCUGGUUAGAGCACCUGACUCAUAAUCAGGGGGUCCAUGGUUCGAGCCCAUGUGGGACCACCA
rnacentral:tRNA from 5 species